AUGAAUGAUAAGGCCAGGGCUCUUUGGGACUCCAUGCUUGUACUACCAAUGAAACAAUUGAUGGAGGGGAAGUGUAUCCUACAUGGUUUCAACACAAAGUAUUUCCGGAAAGCAGGAGCCUUUGGGAUGAGAGAGAGAACCUACAAGUGUAACUGGAAUAUGCACUACUCCUCCAGCUACUUGUCCAAGCUUACUACUGCACAGUAG
rnacentral:lncRNA from 1 species